AUUGAACGCUGGCGGCAGGCUUAACACAUGCAAGUCGAGCGGAGAUGAGGUGCUUGCACCUUAUCUUAGCGGCGGACGGGUGAGUAAUGCUUAGGAAUCUGCCUAUUAGUGGGGGACAACAUUCCGAAAGGAAUGCUAAUACCGCAUACGUCCUACGGGAGAAAGCAGGGGAUCUUCGGACCUUGCGCUAAUAGAUGAGCCUAAGUCGGAUUAGCUAGUUGGUGGGGUAAAGGCCUACCAAGGCGACGAUCAGUAGCGGGUCUGAGAGGAUGAUGCGCCACACUGGGACUGAGACACGGCCCAGACUCCUACGGGAGGCAGCAGUGGGGAAUAUUGGACAAUGGGGGGAACCCUGAUCCAGCCAUGCCGCGUGUGUGAAGAAGGCCUUAUGGUUGUAAAGCACUUUAAGCGAGGAGGAGGCUACUGAGACUAAUACUCUUGGAUAGUGGACGUUACUCGCAGAAUAAGCACCGGCUAACUCUGUGCCAGCAGCCGCCGUAAGAC
rnacentral:rRNA from 1 species